CCGUCAUUUGCUUACCUCCGUGUGCCAGCGGAACCGUCAUUAUUAUCCUGUGAGCCGAAGCGGCACAAACGGGUUGUCAGAGCAGAUGCUGGUCGGUUGCUGGGUCAUGGGAGCUUCUGAGGACCUGUGAGAGGCUGGGCCCCCAGACCCACAGCCUGGCAUCAGAAGGCAGCACAGCUAGGCUCUUUCCUCCCCCGUAUAUCAGCACCAGAGGGAAGACUCCUGGAAAAGAGGGCAACACCUGUCACAAUAGGCUUGCCACAGUGGCAGGGAUGCAAACGCGCCAGUGGAACAGACGCCCCGCCUGAACAGCACAUGGUCCACAGCCUGCAAAAGUACCCCAGGCCUGACACUCAACUAGAGAUGUAGUGGAUGAAACCUCCAGGAUGUGGUAAAACAGUGCCCAUCAUUCCAGCAAUCAAGACACUCUAACUUGAGGAAAAAAACAGUCAAAUGACAGCAACAGUCAGGUGAAUUCCAUGUUGCAAUUAUAUGGCGAUGUUUUAGAGCCGGAGAG